GAAACUUAAAAAUUAAAAAUUGCUACCAUUGCCGAAAGGAACCAAAAGUGCUAAUAUCCGGACUCAAAACUAGCCUGAUUUAAUGCAUAAUCAAAGAGGGAGGUCAAUCAAUUAUUUUCUUCAUAAUCUCCUGGAUUGAUGAGAUGAAUAAAGUUCCCUGGCUGUUACGUUUGGAUGAUUUUCCAAUCUGAUUUUAUAAUGACUGUAUAGUUUUAUUCCUUCAGAAACCGAUUUUAUGUGUUGCUUCCUGCGGAUUUCGUUCUUGUGGAUAUGCCAUGAGCGGCAAUAUGGAAUUCCAGAGUCAGUGCGAAUCGCGGUGGAAUAGAAAGAAGACGAUCGGUUUGUAACGUCAACAAAUAUCUAUAACCGACUCAGAAAACCUGAACCGCUUUGCACACGACACCAACUCCCAAAAAAAGGAAUAUGAAUUCGGCAUGUAGGCAUAAGAUAAGCGAACAUCUAGAAGGGCUGAGUCUUGAU